GUGGAAACACGAAGGGAGGGUCUUGUCUUCUCCAGAACUCUCUUGUUUGUUUUCACUCGCUGCUGAAGUUUCAAUGAACACAACACAACGCAACACUCAACACCCUCUUCCACUUUUUAGUCUUGUCUCGACUUUUUUUGACCCCUUCUCUCAAAAAAGAGGGGUGAAGAAGAAGGUGAACAAGUCUUUUUUGAUUUCCCUCCUCUCAACUUGUCCUUGUUUAUGUAAUGCAAUGCUUUCUACAGUUAUACUUGUACCUAAGUGAGUGGGUUUGGCUGGUCUGUUGGUAACGUUUUUAGCUGAGUUCGUGUGAUUUCACAACACUUGUGUAAAAAUAAUUCCC
rnacentral:lncRNA from 1 species